rnacentral:rRNA from 1 species
AGCAGCCGCGGUAAUUCCAGCUCCAAUAGCGUAUAUUAAAGUUGUUGCAGUUAAAAAGCUCGUAGUUGAAUUUCGGGAUCAAUACGUCGGUCGUGCUUCGGUACGUACUGGCGUAAUUGAUUUCUCCCUUCUGACGAACCAUGAUGUCAUUAACUUGGUGUCAUGGGAAAUCAGGACUGUUACUUUGAAAAAAUUAGAGUGUUUAAAGCAGGCUCACGCUUGAAUACAUUAGCAUGGAAUAAUGAAAUAGGACGUUCGAUCCUAUUUUGUUGGUUUUUAGGAUCAACGUAAUGAUUAAUAGGGAUAGUUGGGGGCAUUAGUAUUCAAUUGUCAGAGGUGAAAUUCUUGGAUUUAUUGAAGACUAACUACUGCGAAAGCAUUUGCCAAGGAUGUUUUCAUUAAUCAAGAACGAAAGUUAGGGGAUCGAAGACGAUCAGAUACCGUCGUAGUCUUAACCAUAAACUAUGCCGACUAGGGAUCGGAUGAUGUUAAUUUUUAAUGACUCAUU